AAAAAAACCGUUUUUCAAAAGUGGUAGAUGGCUCUUAACCUACCCUAACCCUGACCCUAACCCUAAUUGGUUUUAAGCUAUUUUCUCGGCCUAGGAAGGGGCUAGAAACAUAAUUCUUGCAGAUUCAGGGUCGGACCAAGCCCAGCAAAAAAAAGGUAUGAAAAAAAAAAAAAAAAAAAAAAAAAAAAAGAACAAUUUUGAUCGGUUUUAAGUUAUUUUCUCGGCCUAGGAAGGGGCUAGAAACAUAAUUCUUGCAGAUUCAGGGUCGGACCGAGCCCAGAAAAAAGAAGGUAUGAAAAAAAAUAAAAAAAAAAAUGAAAAUUUCAAAUUUCUUAUCAAAAAAAAAAGAAAAAAAAAAAAGACUCGAAAUGGCCUAAAACGUGCUCCUAGACACUUUCUGUGGGAACUUAUUUUUUCACUAACAAAUUUUGUUGACUCCACACUUGAAAAAAAAAAAAAAAAAAAAUGAAAAUGGGAUUUUCUAUACCAAAACAAGCCACCAGGUGGCCAAAAUUUUGCACAAAGGUCGGGCUCAUAAAAUCCUACCGACCAACCCCAACCAUGAUCCCAUGCACCUCCCCCUUCUCCCGUGAGGUCGAUUUUAAAAGUCGUCCAAUGUUAAAACUUGUGGCUCCAAAUUGCUCCAAAUUUCUAGGGGAUGAAGAGGGGACCAAGGGCUACCACUGACACUAUUCCGAAUUCCCAUGCACCGCCCAAAAAAAAAAAAAAACGCUUCACUUUGAACUUUUAAAAUCGAAAUUGCAGUACCCAAAAAAACCGCCAGGGGCGCCACAUUUUUUGAGCAAGUCCGCUGGGCCUAGACCUAUCCGAGGGUGGUCGCCGAAUUCCCAUGCACCGCUCAGUUCUCG
ensembl:lncRNA